GCGACCUUACUUGAACAGGAUCUGUUCUAUAGGCUCGUACCGUUGCAUCCUUUACCAGUACAUGUUUUAAAUGCCAGAUGCUGCAAGGUUCAAGCUGGUAACUGGUAUAUGUAACUUUCAUCCUUAACAAGGUACUGUAUUUUUUUAUGUAAAUCUUGGUAUCUCCACAUACUAUAUAUUUUAAAAUUUUAACAUAUACAUAUAGUUUCUCAAGAA
rnacentral:snoRNA from 1 species